AUUGAACGCUGGCGGCAUGCUUUACACAUGCAAGUCGAACGGCAGCGCGGGCUUCGGCCUGGCGGCGAGUGGCGAACGGGUGAGUAAUACAUCGGAACGUGCCCAGUAGUGGGGGAUAGCUCGGCGAAAGCCGGAUUAAUACCGCAUACGACCUGAGAGUGAAAGCGGGGGAUCUUCGGACCUCGCGCUAUUGGAGCGGCCGAUGGCAGAUUAGCUAGUUGGUGGGGUAAAGGCCUACCAAGGCGACGAUCUGUAGCUGGUCUGAGAGGACGACCAGCCACACUGGGACUGAGACACGGCCCAGACUCCUACGGGAGGCAGCAGUGGGGAAUUUUGGACAAUGGGCGAAAGCCUGAUCCAGCAAUGCCGCGUGUGUGAUGAAGGCCUUCGGGUUGUAAAGCACUUUUGGCGGGAACGAAAAGGACUGUGCCAAUACCACGGUUCGAUGACGGUACCCGCAGAAUAAGCACCGGCUAACUACGUG
rnacentral:rRNA from 1 species